rnacentral:rRNA from 1 species
CUUGGUGACUAGAGCGAGGUGGACCCACCCGUUCCCAUCCCGAACACGGCAGUGAAACGCCUCAGCGCCGACGAUACUAAGGGGGCAACUCCUCGGGAAAAUAGGUCGUCGCCAGGG